ACUGAUAAACUGCACAGAAGCCACAGCAGCUCAUUCUCACAGAAACGGUAGCCAUGGCAACGCUGCUGAGGACAUCAAGGCAAGCUGUCAUAAUGAGUGGGGGAGAGAGACAUCUUAUUUUUCAGUGAUCUAGGACUCGAAGAUAUUUCAAUAUUCUUCGGCUUCAUCCAGACUUCACCCAUGUUUAACAGGCAGCAUCAGAUUCAGUCAAUGAAGCCAAGAGAAACAAUGUAGGGAGGAAACUGCUGAGACCUGCAAACAUCCUCUGCUAGACCUGGGUAUUUCCCUGAAAACCGUGCAACACUAGUUACAGCACCAUGACAGAAUACUACAAGGGCAAUGGGGGAGCUGGAGCCUACCGUAGCAAGCAAUGAAUGCAAGGAGCCCUUCACUGACAGCGUGGCCAAGGAGCCCCCAGUGUGAGAGAAAACACAUGCUCUUGCACCUGCACCUUCUGUUUCCAAAGGGAGAGGCACUCACUAUCCCGACAAGACCAAUCUGCUCAAGAUGGAAGGGUCACAGAAACAUUCCUCAGCGACUAGGCUCCUCUUCACGUCAAGAACCCGAGAGAGCGACGCAGCCCGAGAGCAGCUUGAUUCACGCCUGACGCUCUGCUAACGGAUCUACGAGACCAAACCAGGAGGCACUGAAGAAUAAAUGUCAUGACGGUCUCAGAACAAAUAAAAUAAAAGGCAU